CUUGUCAGUGAUGAAAGAAUUGUCGCCCCAGUCUGAAAUUUCAUGACUGAUUGACUUUUCUGAGACAAU
rnacentral:snoRNA from 1 species